CUACGGGCGGCUGCAGUGAGGAAUAUUGCACAAUGGAGGAAACUCUGAUGCAGCAACGCCGCGUGGAGGAUGACGCAUUUCGGUGUGUAAACUCCUUUUAUAUGUCAAGAAAAUGACGGUAGCAUAUGAAUAAGCUCCGGCUAACUCCGUGCCAGCAGCCGCGGUAAUACGGAGGGAGCAAGCGUUACUCGGAAUCACUGGGCGUAAAGGACGCGUAGGCGGGUUGGAAAGUCAGGUGUGAAAUCCUACAGCUUAACUGUAGAACUGCACUUGAAACUUCUAAUCUAGAGUAUGGGAGGGGGAGAUGGAAUUAGUGGUGUAGGGGUAAAAUCCGUAGAUAUCACUAGGAAUACCUAAAGCGAAGGCGAUCUCCUGGAACAUUACUGACGCUAAGGCGUGAAAGCGUGGGGAGCAAACAGGAUUAGAUACCCUUGUAGUC
rnacentral:rRNA from 1 species